rnacentral:rRNA from 1 species
UACAGAGGAUGCAAGCGUUAUCCGGAAUGACUGGGCGUAAAGCGUCUGUAGGUGGCUCUUUAAGUCCGCCGUCAAAUCCCAGGGCUCAACUCUGGACAGGCGGUGGAAACUACCAAGCUGGAGUACGGUAGGGGCAGAGGGAAUUUCCGGUGGAGCGGUGAAAUGCGUAGAGAUCGGAAAGAACACCAGCGGCGAAAGCGCUCUGCUGGGCCGACACUGACACUGAGAGACGAAAGCUAGGGGAGCGAAUGGG